UUUUUUUUAAAAAUUGAUUUAAAUUUUUUUUUUUUUUUUUUUUUUUUUUUGUUUUGUUUUGAACGAGAUAUAAUACGAGAUAAUAUUUAGCAUGUAACGACUCUUUCGUUGUCGUUUGUUGUCUCGAAUUAAUCGGCUAAUUUUUAUUUAUUUUAUUUAGCGCUGUUCUUUAAGUAAAACUAUCUGUUUCACUGUUGCCAAAAUUUUUCUAACUCUAUAUCUGAAUUAUAUUCAGUCUUGUAUAAAUUACUCUUGUGAAAAACUCUUGUAUAAAUUACAAACAAAAUAAUACGUGGUGAUAUUUAAUAUUUAUUGGCUGUACUUUUGUAUUCUCUGUUAUCAUUUUUGUAUUUUCAAAUUUAUUGACUUUGAAUUAAUUGGUUGAUCUUCAUUUUAUUUUGUAUUUUAUUCCAAUAGAAUUAUUUAGCGUUAGUCUCGUUGCUGAACUUUUGGCCAGCCUGUGGACUUAUUUUCAAAAUGCAAGAAUAAUUCCUGAACUUUACUCGCUUAGCGAGAAUAUCUUAUUUCUUUAUAGUGUCUCCGAUGUAUGUUUUCAAUGUAUUCUAUACAUAUACAUUAUAAAUUACCCAACGAGCUCUCCCCAACAUUUGAGGGGUCAAAAUUCGCGGCCUGUUAAAAAUAAAACAAUGUUGGACCGUGUCGCAUAGAAGGUUGAAUCUCUUCUGAACUCGUGCACUCAUUGAUGCAUCGUGGAUCAUCGGGAACGAUGCAACUCGGUUGACCAGGUAAGCGCUUGCACGCAUGCGCGUACACGCAGAAUAAAGAUGCGUGUGCACGCACUGGCCGGGUCUCAACUCGAUACAGCCUAGCCAUUCAUGCAUACGCCCAUUCAUACGUCUGCUCGGCUCACCUUGAACACUUUUUAUCAUCGUUCGAUGUGGUUGUGGAGCGAUGUGUACCUUCAUACGUGUAUACAUACGUGUAUGUAUAUAUAUAUGUAUAGCUAUGGACGUGAGAAGGAUCUCGGUAUGCUUUUAACAUUUCAUUGUUGCACAAUUUUGAAAAUUGCAGCGAAUGUUAUAAGUUACUGUCUAACUGAUUCUUCCUCACCUGAUGAUACACGUGGAGAAUUCAGAAGUUUGGCUCAUUGAAAGUAAAGCAUGGUCGCGCCAUACGAAUAUCUUUUUAUUGUUAAAAGUAUUGGUUCGGUUAUUGCAAUAUUGAUUAUUACCAUAUUGUAAUUGAAUUGUUCUCAUUGGCUGAGUUUUGAGUUGAAAUGUAAUUAGGAUACUUGUAAUUUGUAGUUAAAAUGUAAUAACACAUUUGUAAGCUGAAAUACAAAAAUGUAACAUAG